rnacentral:lncRNA from 1 species
GGGGAGGCCUGGGCCUGCACCCCCUCUGCCCGGAGCCGCAGGGCGCCCCAAACCAGUGCAUGCUCCCUCCGCCCGCGGCUCUCUCUGGCCGUGAUGCCACCCGGGAGCUGGAGCCACCCGGACAAACCACCCUUCUGGGAGGCCGCCUCCUGCAGGGCCAGGGCUGAGCCCAGGGAGCAGCCCAACAGCUUCCCGGGUGUGCCUGUGGUCCAGCUCACCUCCCCAGGGUCACAGCGGGAUCAGCCCGGCCCUGCUGCCACCACCCUCUGUGACGGCCAUCUGACCACAGGCUGUGGAGGGCGGUCACAUGCUGCCCGGGAGAAGGCGGCAUCGAUCGGCCCCGAAUUGGACAAGACGGAGAACAUGCCAGGCUGUCGACCUUUUCAAACAGCCGCCAAAUCAGUCUUCUGGAAACACACAUCUGGCAAUGCCGCCGCCCUGCAUAUCCAAUCCCACAGCUCCAUGAUGCCUUCAGGGUCUGUCACAGGCUGGCCCCACACAGCUCCCUGAGGCUGCGUUUGGUCACACUGCUGAGACUUUGCUGGAAUGUCUUCUCUCCACACACCUGUCAGACUCCUAUGCAUCCUUCAACACCCACCCUAGAUGGUCCCUGGGGGCCCUGCCCCACCAGCUUGCAGGUCGCCAGUUGCUCAGCAUGACAAGAGAGGAGCUGCUCCGCCAUCCGUCUGUCACUGUCAGCUCGCAGGCCGUCUCCUGCUGAGUCAGACGGCCCACGUCCUGCCCUCUGAGGAGCCUGGUUCCCAUGGUCCAUGGGAUGCAGACGGAGAGGGGUGCCCACAGCCCGGCCUGCGGGGCAGCAAGUGGGUAUGCUGGGAACUUCUACCUACCUGGCUGUCCAGACCCCGUCCCCAGACCAAGGUGAUAUUUCACCCUCACAGUGUCCCCUAACACUCUCAGGGACUCUGCUGUCCUCCGAUUGCCCGGGUCCAGCCACUUCUUCAGGAACCAACACACACCACCAUCUCUGGACACUGGGUCAUCCUUCAAUCCUUUCUGAUGAGGAUUUUUAGGCUGGUUAAUUUUAAAACAGUUUAUGAUGAGGAUUUUUAGGCUGGUUAAUUUUAAAACUACAGAUGAGAGGCAGGCUCCGAGGAGUGGAAUUUGCUUGCCCCUUUGUUGGGAAACAUUUACAUUUCUAAGGGAAACCUCUACCUAUAAAGGUGCCUCCCUCUCUGUACCAGGAAGAAGAAGAGAGAUGACCUUGUCCCUAGAAACUCUUAAUGGGGAAGGCAAGAACUUAAGUUGGUUGCUGUCUGGCAAUCUCAUGUAUAACUGAUUUAGGGUGGUGGCUUCUAACCUUUCUAACCUUUACUUAAUCCGAUUUGAUUCUUGUCUAAAAGUCAUGGGAUCACACAACGACCAGACCCCACCUGCACUGAUACCGUUUUAACUUUUUUUCAUGUUCUUUCCUUUGUCUUGUAAAGAAAUGACUCACAUACCCAUGCCUUAUAAAAUUAGCC